GGGAUUGCCCUAGUAACGGCGAGUGAAGCGGCAACAGCUCAAAUUUGAAAUCUGGCUCUCUUUGGGGGUCCGAGUUGUAAUUUGCAGAGGGUGCUUUGGCAUCGGCGGCGGUCUAAGUUCCUUGGAACAGGACAUCGCAGAGGGUGAGAAUCCCGUACGUGGGCGCCUGCCUUUGCCGUGUAAAGCCCCUUCGACGAGUCGAGUUGUUUGGGAAUGCAGCUCUAAAUGGGAGGUAAAUUUCUUCUAAAGCUAAAUACCGGCCAGAGACCGAUAGCGCACAAGUAGAGUGAUCGAAAGAUGAAAAGUACUUUGGAAAGAGAGUCAAAUAGCACGUGAAAUUGUUGAAAGGGAAGCGCUUGCAGCCAGACGUGCCCGCAGUUGCUCACCCAGGCUCCGGCCUGGGGCACUCUUCUGCGGGCAGGCCAGCAUCAGUUUGGGCGGUUGGAUAAAGGCCUCUGUCACGUAUCUCCCUUCGGGGAGACCUUAUAGGGGAGGCGUAAUGCAACCAGCCCGGACUGAGGUCCGCGCAUCUGCUAGGAUGCUGGCGUAAUGGCUGUAAGCGGCCCGUCUUGAAACACGGACCAAGGAGUCUAACAUCUAUGCGAGUGUUUGGGUGUCAAGCCCGGGCGCGUAAUGAAAGUGAACGGAGGUGGGAACCCUUUGGGUGCACCAUCGACCGAUCCUGAUGUCUUCGGAUGGAUUUGAGUAAGAGCAUAGCUGUUGGGACCCGAAAGAUGGUGAACUAUGCUUGAAUAGGGUGAAGCCAGAGGAAACUCUGGUGGAGGCUCGCAGCGGUUCUGACGUGCAAAUCGAUCGUCAAAUUUGGGCAUAGGG
rnacentral:rRNA from 1 species